rnacentral:rRNA from 1 species
GCUAUACAUGCAAGUCGAGCGGACAGAAGGGAGCUUGCUCCCGGAUGUUAGCGGCGGACGGGUGAGUAACACGUGGGUAACCUGCCUGUAAGACUGGGAUAACUCCGGGAAACCGGAGCUAAUACCGGAUAGUUCCUUGAACCGCAUGGUUCAAGGAUGAAAGACGGUUUCGGCUGUCACUUACAGAUGGACCCGCGGCGCAUUAGCUAGUUGGUGAGGUAACGGCUCACCAAGGCGACGAUGCGUAGCCGACCUGAGAGGGUGAUCGGCCACACUGGGACUGAGACACGGCCCAGACUCCUACGGGAGGCAGCAGUAGGGAAUCUUCCGCAAUGGACGAAAGUCUGACGGAGCAACGCCGCGUGAGUGAUGAAGGUUUUCGGAUCGUAAAGCUCUGUUGUUAGGGAAGAACAAGUGCAAGAGUAACUGCUUGCACCUUGACGGUACCUAACCAGAAAGCCACGGCUAACUACGUGCCAGCAGCCGCGGUAAUACGUAGGUGGCAAGCGUUGUCCGGAAUUAUUGGGCGUAAAGGGCUCGCAGGCGGUUUCUUAAGUCUGAUGUGAAAGCCCCCGGCUCAACCGGGGAGGGUCAUUGGAAACUGGGAAACUUGAGUGCAGAAGAGGAGAGUGGAAUUCCACGUGUAGCGGUGAAAUGCGUAGAGAUGUGGAGGAACACCAGUGGCGAAGGCGACUCUCUGGUCUGUAACUGACGCUGAGGAGCGAAAGCGUGGGGAGCGAACAGGAUUAGAUACCCUGGUAGUCCACGCCGUAAACGAUGAGUGCUAAGUGUUAGGGGGUUUCCGCCCCUUAGUGCUGCAGCUAACGCAUUAAGCACUCCGCCUGGGGAGUACGGUCGCAAGACUGAAACUCAAAGGAAUUGACGGGGGCCCGCACAAGCGGUGGAGCAUGUGGGUUUAAUUCGAAGCAACGC